rnacentral:rRNA from 1 species
GACGAACGCUGGCGGCGUGCCUAAUACAUGCAAGUCGAACGCAGUUGCGAACGGGUGAGUAACGCGUAGGUAACUGCCUCAUAGCGGGGGAUAACUAUUGGAAACGAUAGCUAAUACCGCAUACUUUGAGAUUGACUUGCGUUGUAUUUGCUAGUUGGUGAGGUAAAGGGUCACCAAGGCGACGAUAACUAGCCGACCUUAGAGGGUGGUGCGGCAACAUGGGAAUGGGGCACGGCCCAAACUCCUAAGGGAGGCAGGCGUAGGGGAAUAUUGGCCAUGGAGGGAAAGCUGAACGAGCAACGGCGGCGGAUAGGAGAAGGUUUUCGGGUCGGAAAGCUAUGUUGUGCGAGAAGCGGUAACUAACGAGAAAGGGACGGCUAACUACGUGCCAGCAGCCGCGGUAAUUC